UGGGGAAUAUUGGGCAAUGGGCGAAAGCCUGACCCAGCAACGCCGCGUGAAGGAAGAAGGUCUUCGGAUUGUAAACUUCUUUUAUGAGGGACGAAGGACGUGACGGUACCUCAUGAAUAAGCCACGGCUAACUACGUGCCAGCAGCCGCGGUAAUACGUAGGUGGCAAGCGUUAUCCGGAUUUACUGGGUGUAAAGGGCGUGUAGGCGGGAAGAUAAGUCAGGCGUGAAAACCAGAGGCUCAACCUCUGGCCUGCGUUUGAAACUGUUUUUCUUGAGUACUGGAGAGGUUGGCGGAAUUCCUAGUGUAACGGUGAAAUGCGUAGAUAUUAGGAGGAACACCAGUGGCGAAGGCGGCCAACUGGACAGCAACUGACGCUGAGGCGCGAAAGCGUGGGGAGCAAACAGGAUUAGAUACCCUGGUAGU
rnacentral:rRNA from 1 species